AGGAUUAACGCUGGCGGCGUGCCUAACACAUGCAAGUCGAACGAGGUAGCAAUACCUAGUGGCAGACGGGUGAGUAGCGCGUGGUCAACCUACCGUUGAGUGGGGGAUAACUAGCCGAAAGGUUAGCUAAUACCGCAUACGUCUCCGAGGGGCAUCCCUUGGCGAUAAAAGGAGCAAUCCGCUCGAUGACGGGACCGCGUCCCAUUAGCUAGUUGGUGGGGUAACGGCCUACCAAGGCGUCGAUGGGUAGCUGGUUUGAGAGAGCGACCAGCCACACUGGGACUGAGAUACGGCCCAGACUCCUACGGGAGGCAGCAGUGAGGAAUUUUCCGCAAUGGGCGAAAGCCUGACGGAGCGACGCCGCGUGUGGGAAGAAGGCCUUCGGGUCGUAAACCACUGUCGAAGGGGAAGAUAAUGACGGUACCUUGGAGGAAGCCCGGCUAACUACGCGCCAGCAGCCGC
rnacentral:rRNA from 1 species